UGGAGUUGGAUGCUGCUGUGCUUUGACAGCUCAUCUGAGAGGUCUGAGUGCAUCCCGUGUCGUGAUGUGUUUGGUGUGAUAAGUCUUCACCAUAAUUGACUCCCAGAGUCACACACUUGUUUCAUGGCUCUGCACUUCCAAACAUCCCUGAUGGGAUAAUAGUUGACAAUUUGACCUCAAAUCGGGUGGGACUACCCGCUGAACUUAAGCAUAUCAAUAAGCGGAGGAAAAGAAACUAACUAGGAUUCCCCCAGUAACGGCGAGUGAAGAGGGAAAAGCUCAAAUUUUGAAUCUGGUGUCCUUUGGCACCCGAAUUGUAAUCUAGAGAAGUGUUUUCUGUGUUGGACCAUGCACAAGUUCCUUGGAAUGGGAUAUCAUAGAGGGUGACAGUCCCGUACAUGGCAUGGAUCUCAAUGCUCUGUGAUACACUCUCAACGAGUCGAGUUGUUUGGGAAUGCAGCUCAAAAUGGGUGGUGAAUUCCAUCUAAAGCUAAAUAUUGGCGAGAGACCGAUAGCGAACAAGUACCGUGAGGGAAAGAUGAAAAGCACUUUGGAAAGAGAGUGAAAUAGUACGUGAAAUUGUUGGAAGGGAAGCGUUUAAAGUCAGUCAGUGAUUUGGAAUUCAGCCUGGCUUCUGCCUGUUGUAAUUUCCAUUGACAGGUCAGCAUCAGUUUUGAUGGGGGGAAAAAGAUGUGGUGAAUGUGACUGUCUCCGGGCAGUGUUAUAGCUCCACAUUGUAUGCCUCUGUUGGGACUGAGGAUUGCAGCGCGCCAUAAAUGGCCGGAGGCUAUGUCUCUCGACACCGCGCUUAGGAUGCUGGC
rnacentral:rRNA from 1 species